CUCCUGCUGAGGAGUCCCACAAUAGGACGAAACGGCCAUCCAGUAC
rnacentral:hammerhead_ribozyme from 1 species